GUGAGGAAUAUUGGUCAAUGGGUGGGAGCCUGAACCAGCCAAGUCGCGUGAAGGAAGAAGGAUCUAUGGUUCGUAAACUUCUUUUGCAGGGGAAUAAAGUGCAGGACGUGUCCUGUUUUGUAUGUACCCUGAGAAUAAGGAUCGGCUAACUCCGUGCCAGCAGCCGCGGUAAUACGGAGGAUCCGAGCGUUAUCCGGAUUUAUUGGGUUUAAAGGGUGCGUAGGUGGUUUGAUAAGUCAGCGGUGAAAGUUUGCAGCUUAACUGUAAAAAUGCCGUUGAAACUGUCGGACUUGAGUGUAAAUGAGGUAGGCGGAAUGCGUGGUGUAGCGGAGAAAUGCAUAGAUAUCACGCAGAACUCCGAUUGCGAAGGCAGCUUACUGGGAUGCAACUGACACUGAUGCACGAAAGCGUGGGUAUCAAACAGGAUUAGAAACCCUAGUAGUCC
rnacentral:rRNA from 1 species